GACGAACGCUGGCGGCGUGCUUAACACAUGCAAGUCGAACGGAAAGGCCCUGCUUUUGUGGGGUGCUCGAGUGGCGAACGGGUGAGUAACACGUGAGUAACCUGCCCUUGACUUUGGGAUAACUUCAGGAAACUGGGGCUAAUACCGGAUAGGAGCUCCUGCUGCAUGGUGGGGGUUGGAAAGUUUCGGCGGUUGGGGAUGGACUCGCGGCUUAUCAGCUUGUUGGUGGGGUAGUGGCUUACCAAGGCUUUGACGGGUAGCCGGCCUGAGAGGGUGACCGGAGACUGGGGAGCUGACAGGCCGCCCAUGUCGGGGGGUGAGGACGGAGUGGGGUUGGUAGCACGGUGGCGGGAAGCGGUAGGAGGCGCCGCCGCGCGCGUGGACGCGGUGUGGGGAGUGAACGGCGCUAUGGGGUGGGACGGGGGGGGGGCGGCGGUAAGGGGAAAAGAAGCACCCGCUAACCAAGUGCCAGCGGCCGCGGAAACACUCGGAAGAGCACGUGCCUGAAC
rnacentral:rRNA from 1 species